ensembl:lincRNA
UGCUUUGCAGGAACUGAACUUUGAAUACCUCUUCCCAAAUCUUUUGUGUGCAAAAGUCAUUUUUUGCUAAAUUUGGAAGAUGGAAGAACAUAUGAAGUCACAUUACAGCUCAUCCAGCAGUAGGGAGCAGAACUGGGGGCUUUGAGAAAAGUUAUGUUUUGUAACAUCUCUUGGGCAUUUAAUUGCACUCACUCAUUUUUAUGUCCCCAGAAAGAUUCCUUCUAGAGUCACUCUGAUUGCAUUAAUAUGCUAAUAUUAAUGUCUGGCCAAUAUGCUCUAUAGUUUGUUGAGCUUUAUUCCCCAAGAAUAAUAUGGCCUGCGAAUUGCAGUAAUUUCAGCACCUGUGAACAUCCCAUGGAGAAUAUGAACUGGAACAUUUUUUAGAUCAGCAUAAAGCGUGGAAAAUAAACACCACUCAGAGGAUUUCCUCUCAGGUCAAUUUUGUAUGUAUGCACAAAAGACUGCUGCCUGCGAUGUGAAUCAAGAAAGGACAGGAAAAAAAUUCUACUUUUAAUAUUUUUAGUUUGUAGACUUUCAGAAAAAUUUACAUCCACUUUAUUAGUGUGAAAAAUACUGUUAAUUAUUAAAAUUCAAA